UACGGGAGGCAGCAGUGGGGAAUAUUGCACAAUGGGCGCAAGCCUGAUGCAGCCAUGCCGCGUGUAUGAAGAAGGCCUUCGGGUUGUAAAGUACUUUCAGUCGUGAGGAAGGUGUUAAGGUUAAUAACCUUAGCAAUUGACGUUAGCGACAGAAGAAGCACCGGCUAACUCCGUGCCAGCAGCCGCGGUAAUACGGAGAGUGCGAGCGUUAAUCGGAAUUACUGGGCGUAAAGGGCACGCAGGCGGUUAAUUAAGUUGGAUGUGAAAUCCCCGGGCUUAACCUGGGAAUGGCAUUCAAGACUGGUUAGCUAGAGUCUUGUAGAGGGGGUAGAAUUCCAUGUGUAGCGGUGAAAUGCGUAGAGAUGUGGAGGAAUACCGGUGGCGAAGGCGGCCCCUGGGACAAAGACUGACGCUCAUGUGCGAAAGCGUGGGGAGCAAACAGGAUUAGAUACC
rnacentral:rRNA from 1 species